UACGAGCUGUGCGAACGUUAUUCGGAAUCACUGGGCUUACAGGGUGCGUAGGCGGCCUUUCAAGUCAGGUGUGAAAGCCCUCGGCUCAACCGAGGAACUGCGCUUGAAACUGAAGGGCUCGAGUCAGCUAGAGGUGCACGGAACUUCCAGUGGAGCGGUGAAAUGUGUUGAUAUUGGAAGGAACACCGGAGGCGAAAGCGGUGCACUGGGGCUGGUCUGACGCUGAGGCACGAAAGCCAGGGGAGCGAACGGG
rnacentral:rRNA from 1 species